UACGUAGGGUGCAAGCGUUGUCCGGAAUUAUUGGGCGUAAAGGGCGCGUAGGCGGCCUUUCAAGUGACGGGUGAAAGCCCUCGGCUUAACCGAGGAACUGCCUGUCAGACUGGAAGGCUUGAGACCGGGAGAGGUGAGUGGAAUUCCCAGUGUAGCGGUGAAAUGCGUAGAUAUUGGGAGGAACACCAGUGGCGAAGGCGGCUCACUGGACCGGUACUGACGCUGAGGCGCGAA
rnacentral:rRNA from 1 species